UUUUUUUUUUGGAAAGCAAUUUUCAUUUAAUUUUUUUUAUCAAAGGUUAAAAAAAAGGGAAAAAAAAUUAAGGUAGUAUUAUUCGAGGUAAAUUCGCAGAAAUAAAAAAAAAACCAUUCACACUUUCGCUCCAAUACAAACUGCUCCUCCUUCACGCCUUCACUGCUCCUCUUUCUCCUUCACCGCUCUUCCUUCUCUUUCGCUGCAUCUCACUCCAUUAAUUGUUGUUUUGGUUUGUUCGAAUUUGGGAUCAACUUUAGUGGAUUUGUAUCAAGGUUUUGAGAAAGAGGUACGAAGCAUCAAAGUCUCCAUUAUUUAAUGAUAUAUUCGAAGGUCGUGCACCUUCGGUUAGCUAUAUCGUUAAUGGCCACCAAUACAAUAUGGGAUAUUAUCUCACUGAUGGUAUAUAUCCUACAUGGGCAUCAUUCGUUCGCACAAUAUCCCUCCCCUAAAAUGAAAAAGAGGGUCUUUUCGCCAAAAAGCAAGAAGGUCAGCGAAAGGAUGUCGAACGUGCAUUUGGAGUACUACAAGCUCGUUUUGCCAUUGUGCGGCAUCCUGCUCUUGCUCGUGAUGUAUCAAUGCUUGGAAAAAUUAUGAUAGAUUGCAUCAUCUUACACAACAUGAUCGUCGAGGAUGAGCGAGAUACAUACGCAAGAUAUUAUGAUCCAAGGUAUGAUGAUCCAAAUGAAUAUGAGCAAGCUGAACCACCGUCUUCAAGUAGAAGAAAUUCUCAAGGACCGUUUCAAUUUAGCAACAGUAGUAACCGACCAGCUAAUUUGGAGACUUACAUGGCUAAUAGAGCUCGAGUUCGUGAUGAAGUUACCCAUAGAGCCUUGAAGUCAGAUUUAGUGGAACAUUUAUGGCUUAGAUAUGGGGAGUCUUAUAAUAGGCAGUAAUGAUGUAUUAUUAGGCCUUUAAGAGUAUUUUAUUUAAGUAAUUAUGUUUAGUUUAUGUUUUAGCUAAUGCUAAAUAAUGUGUUCUAAUCAUGCAUGUGUUAUCGUACUAUUGUGUAUUAUUAUUACUUAACGUGGUUUUAAAUUAAGUGUCCAUGUAUUUUACAUUUGCGC